ensembl:lncRNA
CGAUAGGACUUGGAGCAAUAAUGGUGGUUUGGAGUCCAAGGAGACAUCUCCAAUUCCUUUGUUUUGUCCGUUCAACAGCCCAAAAUCCCAACGUGAGUCGAUAAAGGGGAGACUUCUUCUCCUCUCAGGGUUCAUGGUGUCGUUGGGCAUUUGGACGGUGCUGACCGUGAUGCCGCCGUACAAACAGAUCAGUGUGUGUAAGAAGCCUGUGAGUCCAUGCUGCUCUCCCUUCUCCUUUAUCCUCUCCUCCUCUAGUCUCACCCUUCUCACCCUCUCGCUUUAAUCAGCUCUCGCUCUGUCCAGUGCUGCUGUAGUAAGCUACGGCAUUAUACAGUCUGUGCAUGUGUAUGAAUGUGUGUGUGUGUGUUGUGGAGAUCUGUCUGUCCCUUCAUUUGUCCAGUUGUUACUCAUCAUGCCUGCGUUAUUCAUCUUCACCCAUACAGUCUUAAACACCAAUGUACCAAUGCACCAAAGUGUGCUUUCAACAAGACAUUUAUAAGAAGCUGUGAUGGUUUACUGCCCAUAUCAAGUUUGCUGACAUUUGCACCACGCUGGAGCUCGAGAUGCUCAGUGUGUAGAUCAGGUAUGUUUCUCAUCGGGAGGCUCCGUCUUAAGGAGUUUGUCCAUCUGUUGACCACAGACGUCCGGUGUGACACAGAGACGCUACGACCACUGCUCAAAUGUCUCUCUCUGACACUUAAUUUCUUCCCCUUUUCUCUCCUUUUUAAUCUAUUGCUUCACUUCAACAUCUCUGUCUCUCCCUCUGCUUCAUGUCACUUUCCUCUUUGUCAGACUCACACACGCACAUACAAACACACGUAGUCUCCUCCGGCUAAGCGGUGACACACCGUGUAUACAGAGUGGAUGUGUGUGUGUUUUGGUGCACACUUGAUUUUGUGCAUUGAUGUGCAUCUAAGUAAGUGAUUUGGUAUAUUAAUCAUUCAAGUCUUUUAUCAAACAGAAAUGUCAAUUAAUCGCUGGCUUCACAUUCUCACAUGUUGACGCUUUGUUACUCCUCUACACCUUCAAUCAUUGCAAAUUUAAAGGCGUCGCUUUGGCAAAUUUAAUGAAUAUUUUUCACAAUUGCGACAGUGUAUCUUGAAAUACAUUAAAUAGGCUCUGAACAUGAGAUAACUGCCCCGGUCAGUAUAAAAGAAAACUCCUGGUUAACUUGCAGUGAGCAUUUAUUUCAGUGCUUUUCUGUCAUUUUAACAUAUAACAAAUCUCUAAUGUCACCUUAGAGUCGUGGAACCUUACUGGUCACAAUAGUAAUCAACUUGAAACUGAGACUUGUGAUAAUUUGACACUUUAUGCUUUAGUAUCUUUAUAAGCGGUUGCAUGUUUGUUUACGUGCUGUAAGUAAAGAUGCUUGGGCGAGCUUCUUAUUAGCCAGGAAGUGAUCUCACACUCGCAGUGCUCCUCUGGCGUUCAUGCUGUCACUUUCUUCUUCUUCUUCUUCUUCUCUUCUUCUUCUUCUUCUUCUUCUUCUUCUUCUUCUUCUUCUUCUUCUUCUUCUUCUUCUUCUUCUUCUUCUUCUUCAAAGAUCUCCUUUUCUCCUCACACAGCACUAAUGACACAGUGUGGCUUCAAACCCUCCAUUCUGGCUCUAUUUAUAAAACGGCUAGUUGCCGUGGCACUGACUCACUGUCAGCAAGCGGCAUUGAAACUGACUUCGCCACACACACACACACACACACACACACACACACGUAAAAAACCCUAAUACGAGUACAUAGACAAACACAGACACCAAAGGAUCACAGAGUUGUGGGAAGGCCUUAACCUCUUCGCAGCCAGCGUUGCUGUGGAGACGGGGAUUCAGGAAGCUGGGCUUUGCCAGCGGUCUAGCUGGGGGCCAGCUGCAGGCGGAGGAGGAUGUUUUUGGCAACACUAGCCCUGAUGGAAAACCCAGCCGCUGUGUCGGACUCAUUGCAUCGUGUAUAGAAACAUUCCCACUCUGUGACGCCGCUUGGUCGCUCCACAGUUUAAUCUGCUGCAGCCCUGGUGGGGGGAGGGGGGGGGGCCUGCUCAUUGCAGCCAGCAGAACUUAGUAACCCUGUGAAGUGCUCACACUUUAAACUGGUUGUUGAGUUUCUCAUGGACCAGAGGGACUGUUCUUCUGUCAGUGGGUUGGGGUAGGGUAGAGUUGAGUUAGGUUGGGUAAGGUUGGGGUAGGGUUGGUAGGGUUAGGUUGGGGUAGAGUGGGGUUGGGUUAGGGUUGGGUUGGGGUAGAAGUGGGUUGGGUUAGGGUUGGGUUGCGUUAGGUUGGGUUAGGGUUGGGUUGGGUUGCGUUAGGGUUGGGUUGGGUUAGGUUGGGGUAGAGUGGGGUUGGGUUAGGGUUGGGUUGGGUUAGGGUUGGGUUGGUUGUGUUAGGGUUGGGUUAGGGUUGGGUUGCGUUAGGGUUGGGUUCGGUUAGGGUUGGGUUGGGUUAGGGUUGGGUGGGUAGCGUUAGGGUUGGGUUGCGUUAGGGUUGGGGUUGGGUUAGGGUUGGGU